ACGAGCUACAACGUGAGUAUUCGGAAGCAGCGCUAAGAGAUGUUGAUUAUGAUGAUGCAGAGCUGGAUGGCCAGGAGUAGAUUUAGUAUAUGGACUUAGAGAUGAAUAAGUGUCUUUUACACAAGGAUUAAGUUUCCUUUAUGUCUUUUCAAUAACUAGUUUUGUUUAAGACUAGCUCACUUUUGCUUUAUUCAGUUUCAGUUUUCAAGACUAUUUAUUUCCUUUCUUUUAAGUCUAUUCCAAUAAAUGAGGUAUUUCAGAGUAA